AUGUGGUUAAUUUGACUCAACGCGGAAAAGCUUAUCUGGUCCGGACGCAGUGAGGAUUGACAGACAGUUUCAGGAGUGGUUCUUGGUAAACAAUUGAGAGAGUUGAAGUUCUUUCAUGAUCUUGUGAGAGGUGGUGCAUGGCCGUUCUUAGUUCGUGUAGUGAUAUGUCUGCCUAAUCGCGUCACGAUAACCUAUUGGUCGACAACCCAAUUAUCACAACUGCAGCAUAACUCCCCUUGGGUGGGCGAGGCUCUGUGUAGGAUAGACCUCUGAACAGUACGCAACGAACGCGAUCGUAAUCCCUUGUUGAGUGGCCAUCCUGUAAGCUGCUGGAUUAGGAACCCAGUGGUAUUAUCUCAGCCACAGAUUUUCUGGUUGUAAUGGGCCAGUUUUGAAACUCGGGGAACAUCUGUGACUUUCUUUCUUAACGCAGAGGAAGGUUAUGGCAAUAACA
rnacentral:rRNA from 1 species